rnacentral:piRNA from 1 species
AAGAAAGCAAUGCAGCAGAGGUCUCAGAG